rnacentral:misc_RNA from 1 species
GAUGAAGAACGUAACGAAAUGCGAUAAGUAAUGUGAAUUGCAGAAUUCAGUGAACCAUCGAAUCUUUGAACGCACAUUGCGCCCGGCAGUAAUCUGCCGGGCAUGCCUGUCCGAGCGUCAUUUCUGCCCUCGAGCGAGUCCAGCAUCUAGGUGCUGGGCCCGCCCGGCGUUGGGGCACUACGGGGAGCCCUGUGCUGUCCCCCGUAGGCCCCGAAAUGAAGUGGCGGUCCUGCCGCGGCGCCCCCUGCGUAGUAUAACAGCUCGCUUCGGGACCCGGUGGAGGCCUGCCGUCAAACCUUACUCUCUAAGUUUGACCUCGGAUCAGGUAGGGUUACCCGCUGAACUUAAGCAUAUCAAUAAGCGGAGGA